rnacentral:rRNA from 1 species
CGGCGGAUGGGUGAGUAACGCGUGAGGAACCUGCCUUCCACAAGGGGAUAGCCUCGGGAAACCGGGAUUAAUACCCUAUGACACUUAAAGGUCCCAUGACUUUUAAGUUAAAACGUUAGCGGUGGAAGAUGGCCUCGCGUCCCAUUAGCUAGUUGGUGAGGUAACGGCUCACCAAGGCCACGAUGGGUAGCCGGCUUGAGAGAGUGACCGGCCACACUGGAACUGAGACACGGUCCAGACUCCUACGGGAGGCAGCAGUGGGGAAUAUUGCACAAUGGAGGGAACUCUGAUGCAGCGACGCCGCGUGAGCGAUGAAGGCCUUCGGGUCGUAAAGCUCUGUCCUAUGGGACGAUAAUGACGGUACCAUAGGAGGAAGCCCCGGCUAACUACGUGCCAGCAGCCGCGGUAAUACGUAGGGGGCGAGCGUUGUCCGGAAUUACUGGGCGUA